rnacentral:rRNA from 1 species
CCUACGGGGUGCAGCAGUGAGGAAUAUUGGUCAAUGGACGAGAGUCUGAACCAGCCAAGUAGCGUGAAGGAUGACUGCCCUAUGGGUUGUAAACUUCUUUUAUAUGGAAAUAAAAUGUUCCACGUGUGGGAUUUUGUAUGUACCAUAUGAAUAAGGAUCGGCUAACUCCGUGCCAGCAGCCGCGGUAAUACGGAGGAUCCGAGCGUUAUCCGGAUUUAUUGGGUUUAAAGGGAGCGUAGGUGGAUUGUUAAGUCAGUUGUGAAAGUUUGCGGCUCAACCGUAAAAUUGCAGUUGAAACUGGCAGUCUUGAGUACAGUAGAGGUGGGCGGAAUUCGUGGUGUAGCGGUGAAAUGCUUAGAUAUCACGAAGAACUCCGAUUGCGAAGGCAGUUCACUGGACUGCAACUGACACUGAGGCUCGAAAGUGUGGGUAUCAAACAGGAUUAGAUACCCUGGUAGUC